ACGGGAGGCAGCAGUAGGGAAUAUUGCACAAUGGGGGAAACCCUGAUGCAGCAACGCCACGUGUGGGAAGAAGCAUUUCGGUGUGUAAACCACUGUCGUGAGGGAAUAAUGCUAUUUUUCGGAAUAGUUGAAUGUACCUCGAAAGGAAGCACCGGCAAACUUCGUGCCAGCAGCCGCGGUAAUACGAGGGGUGCAAGCGUUGUUCGGAAUCACUGGGCGUAAAGGGAGCGUAGGCGGAAAUGCAAGCAAUCUGUACAAUACCGGGGCCCAACCCUGGACCUGCAGAUUGGACUGUGUUUCUUGGAUAGUUCAGGGGCAGGCGGAAUUCCUGGUGUAGCGGUGGAAUGCGUAGAGAUCAGGAAGAACACCGAUGGCGAAGGCAGCCUGCUGGGGACUUAUCGACGCUGAGGCUCGAAAGCGUGGGGAGCAAACAGGAUUAGAUACCCUGGUA
rnacentral:rRNA from 1 species